CAAAUUUUAAGCCAUAUAAUCAUUAACUUCUCCAAAAUGAGAAGUCGGUGUUUUCCUCACUUUUACGGAAAGGCUUAAUCAUGCAACUCACUUGCUGAAGCAGCAGUGAAACACUUCAAACUGAACCUUGAAAUCUGUGGCAUCUCCAACAUGACAAAGACAUGGUCCCUAGAACAAAGAGGCUGCAGACCACUGAAUGCAACAAACAGGACAAAAUAAAAAUGAAGUGAUUUGAGUAUGUUCGUGGAGUACUGCAAGGUGCUGUGAAGUCUGAAGAUCACCUCACAGAACUCUAUCCAUAAAUAGAAGGAUUGGAAUUUUUCUUUGUGCUCAGGAAAAACUUAACUGAAAAAGAAAAGGAAGAAGGCACGCAUAAAGAAAGUUUAAAAAUCAGGUUAAAUUGAUCCCAUAAGCGAUACUACGGCUGGCGGGGGCUGCUCUAAGAGCCCCUGAGUCCUACGCUCGACCUUCGCGACCACUCGCCCAGCGCAGAGCUUGCUGUGGCGAGGGGAGUGAUUCUCACUUAGCGACGGUCUCGACCCAGAAAACAUUCAUCCUGGACUCUAUCGGACUCCGGACCUUCCCCCGUCCUCCCGGCUGCACAGGUGCACCGUCCCCGCUUCGCUCAGAGCGCUACCUGCUUCCUUCCAGUGAGGCCUUCAUCAAGCUUCUUGAUCCUCUUGGCUAAGUUGUGAGCAGCCUGGGUUCAUAUACUUCCUCCAUAUCCUUAUUCUUUCAUUAGUGCACUCGUCAUUCCGCUCAACAUACACUUAUUGAACAUUUCCAAUGUACCCAACAAUGUGUUAGGUACUGUGUUAGGUACCCAACAAUACUGUCAGGCAGUAGUGUUUUUUCUCCUUACUCCAUACUUUGGUUGGGGGGAAAAAUCCAUGUCAGUAACAAGAGUCAAAUUAUAUUGUAGUGACCUAUCUGGUUAAUUUACUUGUGGUUUCUCUUGUGGAGGGUUUACUGUUUCAAAAAUAAUCCACCUUCAGACAAGAUACCUCACUCCCACGGAGAUCAUACUCUGAGUAAGCAAGAAAGCAAAAUAGUAAAGUACAGUGAUGCCUGCUUGGAAUCUAAAAGAGAAAUGGGACCGAAUGACUGGGGUGCUCACCACCAUGAGUGGUUUGGGAAGACUUUAAACCACUAGGUUACCUUCCUGAACCUAGAAUUAUUAUUAGAUAUAGAAUGGGUACAUUUUCUUGAAUCAAAGACUAUGGUUAAGAAAAACUAUAGAACCCUUAAACUCAUGUGUUCUCCCACAUUUUAUCCAUCCCCAAGCUCUCAGGAUUCAGCCUCUUACAGAGAUCUUGGAAUAUUCAUCAUUUCUCCACCUUCACUGUGUCCACCAAGGUCCAAGAUACCGGUAUUCCAGUUCUACUCUUACUCCUCUCUACUCCAGAUUGAGUUUUAAAAAGUAUUAAUUGGCUCAUCUUAUAUACAGAGAGAGAGAGAGAGACAUACACAGCAUAAAUCUUUCAGUGAUUUACAUUGCAGUCAGUAUAAAAUACAAACUCUCUAGUGACCUCUUAAUUAUCUCCCUUACCCUUCUACAACCUCUCCUAUGGCCAUUUUUGCCAUGACUCCUUAUGUUCCAGCACAAGAGUAACCUUCCCUUCUUCUAUUUCUCUUCCCUUUGCAUAUGUCCUCCACUGGGAGGACUCUUCCCUUUCUACACAUCCUUUAGGGUGUAAAGAAGACUCCCCUGACCCAUUCCAGUCAACAAGAUUAGACUCACCCUGUCUCUGUUUUUCUCUUUUUUUUCUAAUUUUGUUAUCAUGUCUAAAUUUGUUUUAAUUUUUUUUAUCAUAGCCCUAUCCAAUUUUAUUUGCAUAUUUAUUGAAGGGUGACUUGUUUAAUAACUUUCUUCCAUUCAGAAUAUAAUGGCCAUGAAGAGAGGGCUCAUGUCUGGCUUUUCUGUUUACUGGAUAGUCAGCUCCAGCCCAGGAAUGAGCAUAAGGUACCAAGGCAUGGAGAAAAAGGCACACUCAUUUUCAGAAUAAAAGUAUGCAUCAGUUCACCAUUUUGUCACAACCCCUGUUGGAACUAAAUAACAUGGCAACACCCAGCCACAAUAGUGAUUAAGAAGUAGUAAUCUUCAGAGAAGGAGAGGCAGAGGAAGCAGGAGAGAGAGAAUCUUAUGCAGGCCCUACACCCAGUGCAGAGCCCAACACAGAGCUCAAUCUCAGAAUUCUGUAUUCAGAACACAGUAGCCAUAACAAAAGAAGAGAUCUUGCCACUUGUGACAACAUGGAUGAACCUAGAAGGUUUUGGCAAGAUAGCAGUAACAACACACACAAUCUCAGCGUUCUUUCAGCUAAUGUGUCCCAACUCACCAUGCUUAUCUCCAGAACUCUCCAGAGGUUCCCAAGAGUGUAAGAGAAGUUAAAGAAUAACCAGCUCUACAACCACGAUUGGAGAGAGAGAGCACGAGUGGGAGGGACCGAGCUUGGAGCCAGAAACGGGCUGGAUCUCAUGACCCUGGGAUCAUGACUGAGCUGAAACCAGGAGUCAGAUGCUUAAUCAACUGUGCCACCCAGGCAUCCAGAGAAAAUUAUUUUCUUCAUGUGUAACCUCUGAAGGGGUGUUUAGAGAAAAGAUUUCCAGAUGCCCACACAAGAAAACUUUUGCUUGUGAAUAAUUUCUAUGAUAAUUAAAUUCAUUUCUAGAAUGCUAUCAACUAAUGGUUCUUAUUAAGCCAUUUUACAGUUUUGAGUUGAUAAUAAAAUAUGCUAUUUCUGAGCUAUGAUUCUUGUAAUAGUCUCUUACAAAUUGAACAUAUUUUUUGUCUAAUGUUACAAUUUUUGUGUGUGUUUUUAGAUUCUCGAUUGCACUCUUAGCUAAUUACAAUUUAAAAAAUACUGCCUUUUUUAUGAACUUGGCAAGUCUAAGGUUUUCUCUAUAAUUCAAUAAUCAAUUUGAGUGAAUUUAUUUUGGCAUCAUAUGGAAUUAGUCUAAAUGAUCUUUUGUUAAGGUUAGGUUCAGCUUACAUAACAAAAUUUAAUUUCAGAAAUGUAGCUCCAUUCACCCAUUUAAUUGAUUCUGUUUGCCCAAAAUAUGAACUAAUAUAAUUAGUGAACUGUAUUCAUUAGAAAGUAAAAAAAGUCAAAAUAAUUUCCUGAUUUGAUUAUUAGUGAUAUCAUUAUAUGUUCUUGUCAGUUUCUGCCUAUAAAACUAUAUAAAGGAAAAUAAAAUUAUAGAUAAAGCAUUUUCUUAGACAAUCACAUGAGGUUCCUUCUAAGUCAUUCAGUAGCUACUCAGAAAACUGCUAUUUUGAUUGAA